rnacentral:rRNA from 1 species
UACGGGGGGGGCAAGCGUUGUUCGGAAUUACUGGGCGUAAAGGGCUCGUAGGCGGCCAACUAAGUCCGACGUGAAAUCCCCAGGCUCAACCUGGGAACUGCGUCUGAUACUGGAUGGCUUGAAUCCGGGAGAGGGAUGCAGAAUUCCAGGUGUAGCGGUGAAAUGCGUAGAUAUCUGGAGGAAUACCGGUGGCGAAGGCGGCAUCCUGGACCGGCAUUGACGCUGAGGAGCGAAAGCCAGGGGAGCAAACGGG